ACCGGGACGAUGAGACAAACAUGAUGUUCGUAUCACCAUUCCGUUGUCAGAAGAUAUACAAGACGGCCUUUGGACCUGGUCGUAGUAAAAGAAGAUUCUAGGUUACAGAAAGAAAAUAUCGUGGCAAAAAACAACCAAAUAUUGGGGGUCCUUGGCAGAAAGAAAAGAGAAAAUGGUGGUGGGGAUAAAAUGAAAAUGAUGCAAUAAGAAAAACAAGAUUGAUAAGAUGGAGGAAAGUGAAGAAAAGUGUAUGAAAAGGUUAUCGAUAUCUCCUUGUGUAAAUAUCUCCGAGUUCGGUUUCAACUUGUUCUUCAAAAAAAUACAUGCAAUAUUAUUUUUUC